AUUGAACGCUGGCGGCAGGCCUAACACAUGCAAGUCGAACGAGUGGCGGACUGGUUAGUAAUGUCUGGGAAACUGUCUGAUGGAGGGGGAUACCUACUGGAAACGGUAGCUAAUACCGCAUACCCUCAGAUGUGCCCAGAUGGGAUUAGCUUGUUGGUGGGGUAAAGGCUCACAAAGGCGACGCUCCCUAGCUGGUCUGAGAGGGUGACCGGCCACACUGGAACUGAGACACGGUCCAGACUCCUACGGGAGGCAGCAGUGGGGAAUAUUGCACAAUGGGCGCAAGCCUGAUGCAGCCAUGCCGCGUGUAUGAAGAAGGCCUUCGGGUUGUAAAGUACUUUCAGCGGGGAGGCGUUACCCGCAGAAGAAGCACCGGCUAACUCCGUGCCAGCAGCCGCGGUAAUUC
rnacentral:rRNA from 1 species